rnacentral:rRNA from 1 species
CCUACGGGAGGCAGCAGUGGGGAAUAUUGCACAAUGGGCGAAAGCCUGAUGCAGCAACGCCGCGUGAAGGAAGAAGGGUUUCGGCUCGUAAACUUCUAUCAACAGGGACGAAAGAAAUGACGGUACCUGAAUAAGAAGCCCCGGCUAACUACGUGCCAGCAGCCGCGGUAAUACGUAGGGGGCAAGCGUUAUCCGGAUUUACUGGGGGUAAGGGGUGAGUAGGCGGCAUGGUAAGCCAGAUGUGAAAGCCUUGGGCUUAACCCGAGGAUUGCAUUUGGAACUAUCAAGCUAGAGUGCAGGAGAGGAAAGCGGAAUUCCUAGUGUAGCGGUGAAAUGCGUAGAUAUUAGGAAGAACACCAGUGGCGAAGGCGGCUUUCUGGACUGAGACUGACGCUGAGGCACGAAAGCGUGGGGAGCGAACAGGAUUAGAUACCCGGGUAGUC